UAGAUGGCGCUGGGCCCGCUCCCACGUGGGGCGGAGGCAGGAGCGCGGCGGGCCUGGGCCGGGCGGUGCGGUGCGGGGACGGGGUUCCAGAGCUGCGGGGUGACCUCCGGAGACCAAGGCAGCGCCUGGCCGGACUGACCCCGCUCACCCUUCCUCCGAAGAGGAACCCUGGGUUUGGCUUUUUUUUUUUUUUUUUAAUCUUGAGGUGUUUUCCCCCUUAAUAUUAAAUCCUAAAGGAAAUAGACAUUCAAGCUCCCUGUCCGUAGGGAAUUAUAAUCCUGGGCAAAAGAAAAAGAAUUAUUUCUCUAUGAUAAACACAGUAUCUCAAUAAGAAUUGAGAACUUUUCCCACUGACUUAAAUCCUGGGAAAGGAAAGGGGGAAAUGGAGUAUAAGGGAAGCUGAAAGGCAAACUUUAUCGUCCUCAUGAUUUUUGCCAAGAGUUGGCUCAUCCUGUUGAUGUUCAGAAGAGAAGCUGUAACACCCAAAGCAAGAACUCAGCGUGGUUUGUCUUCGCUUAUGAAAUCGUUGAAUCUCUGGCCUGUCCCAGCAUGUUAACUGGAUUGGGCUGUUGGAAGUUCUGUGAUGUGGCUGCUUAUGACAAUAACCCAGGCUGGUUAAAGAAGGCUAGGAGGCAAUAAGAUCUUCCUUCUGUUAAUACAGUCACUACAGCUGUUAUAGAAAGACCAGAUUCCUCCACAUGGCAGGAAGCACAGCCCACUGAAAACUUCCUAAACUUUCCACCAUUAACCACUGUAGCAGACGCUGUUGCUGUCCUGGCCGUGUCUCCUUGGCCCAUCUAUGAGGUUAUCUACAGUUGGGGAAUUGCUCCUCUACUUGUCCCAGACUUCCUACCUCUAGCAUCUGCAUCAUUCUGCCUGAGGACAGCUGCUGGGGGAGCGCGCU